GGCGUCUCAUGGAAGUGUUACGUUCGCGUGCUGGGUGCAUCGGAUGAGGUUCGCUGUCGCGGACUGCGAUGGAGGAGGGGAAGGGGAUGGGCGACAACUCCAGCUCUUGGUUAGCCGGAAAAAGGCCCCGCCGUUGAACUGCUGAACUACUACAGAGAACUGCGGUCGCUUUACUCUGGAGGACUGCUUGAGGACUGCUCCUGGCCGCCCGAAAACUUCAUAUCUACCAGCAAGCUAGCACAGCAAUAAAAGGCUUCCGUCAAGGGCAACUGGUGUUGCUCCGGAAUCUUCAUGCUCCGGAAGGGCCAUCCUGCGCAACGCACCGCGCCACGGUGUUUUCCGUAAGAAAACGGGAUAGGUACCAGGAAACUGGUUCCGGUAGGGGAGACUGCGACGUCGACAGGAAACACCGCGUUAACAACAGGCAGCAACGGCAACGCGUAGCACUCGUUGAACGGUUUAGUGAUGGUCGCAUUGGGCAUGACGACAGAAAAGUGCACGUUUCGUGUAAAUGUGCUGUUGCCGAGGCAAAGUCGAACAAAUUCGUGGGAAUAACCCUUGGCCCGGAUUGUUGGUAAUGAUAUGAAACAGACCGCCUGGAAUUGCGGCGGUCCAUCAAUCAGAUUGAAUUUAAAAGGGCGAAUCGGAGAGACCGAACUGUGGCACGUCUGGGAUGGUUAAAAAGGUCCCAUAUGGGCCAGUUAUGCGGGUCCCAUGUUGGCUGAUUAUAUAGGUCCCUGCUGGACAUACACAUGUGGGCCCCGGCUAAACAUGCCCACGUGGGUCCCAACUGAGCAGCCCAGGUGGGUCCCAUGUGGGUCACAGUUACGCCCCACGUGGGCCCCAGGUGGGCUGCUCGCGUGGGACUCAGAUGGUUGCCCAUGACCAUGACAUGCCAUAUGGGACCGAAGUGGGCAGCCCCGAUGGGCCCCAUAAGGCUUUCAGUAUCAGACCCACAUGGGUCUCAGUUGGACGUGCUGGUCUGGCGGAAGGCAUUCAAUGGCAAGUCCUUACACCGUAAUAACUGGCAAUCAUGUCCAGGUUCUUAUAUUAUGCAGCACAAAACGUGAUUACCGAUUAAAACUUGCUCAACUUGUUCACCACUUUUAAUCUGUGAGUGCUGCAACACGCUGUUCUCUCAUUCAUGUACUAUUGUGGCACAGACCAGACCGAAGGAAUAUAUGAUGAUGGUGAUGAGAGAAAGGAAGAGGAGAAGGAGGGGGAGAUAGAGGACAAUGAACGGGAUGAGAAGAGGAAGAGGAGGAGGAGAAAAAGGAGGAGGAGAAUGAGGAGAAGGGGGAGGAUGAGGAGGAGGAGGACGACGACGACGAUGCUGAGUGGGAGGAGGAAGAGAAGGAAGAGGAAGAGGCGUCCAUAUCUAUGCUAAACUAAUAAGUUUUCAACCUUGCACGCAUUCAUUUGAAGGUGGAAGACAACUUUUUUCAUUUACUGCACCUCGCACUUUUCAAAAAAAGUGUAGGAUGCGCCACUGUACUCUUGAUUAGGGAGCUAUGAGAUACCAAUUUAAAUUCUUUAUCAUGACGUCAGGACCACGUAGAGAGCGGAGUGGUCCACCUCAGAUUAUAAAGCCUUGGACGCAACGGCUUUGACGACGCGCGCUGUUGACGCGGGGGGCGGGACUGCAUCGCGGGCGUGUUGUGGCGCUUGUGGCGGAGCAUCAGUUUUCGAAUUUGGUGCAAUUUUUGGUACUUACAGGACCAGUGACCCCAGGUGAUGAUGUCCCAGUCAUUCAAGAAAAAGCACAGGUACGGCAAUCGGCCAUUUUCUUCCACACCGCCUUCACUUGGCCACAUUCCUCGCAGUUCACCCCCCUAAUGUACCAGCAAGCCCCCCUUUUGAGAUCACCUAGCCCGCAAUGGCACCAUCACGCCGUCGUCACCCGCGAACGUGACUGUAUCCGCGAAGACGGUGUUCGUGGGAGCCGACUGUAUCUUCCAAGACGCGUUUUCUCGGGAGCCGCCUGUAUCGCUCAAGACGGGUGGGCGCGUGAGCAUCUGCAACGGCCGGCGACGUCGGAACGGCGACCUCAGCGCCGCCAGUGUUUGCC
rnacentral:lncRNA from 1 species